AUGUGGGCACCUGAUAUCUAUGAGGGUUCACCCACCCCGGUGACAGCAUUCCUUUCUAUUGCGCCUAAAAUCUCUAUUUCUGCAAAUAUGUCACGUGUUUCUAUUGUUGCUUCCUAUGGGGGUACAUUACAACAAAUCUUCUUUUUCUGCAGCAUUGCUUCUAUGAUCUUAGGAGCACUGGCCGCCAUGGCCCAAACGAAAGUCAAAAGACCUCUAGCUCAUAGUUCGAUUGGACAUGUAGGUUAUAUUCGUACUGGUUUCUCAUGUGGAACCAUAGAAGGAAUUCAAUCACUACUAAUUGGUAUAUUUAUUUAUGCAUCAAUGACGAUAGAUGCAUUCGCCAUAGUUCCAGCAUUAUGGCAAACCCGUGUCAAAUAUAUAGCGGAUUUGGGCGCUCUAGCCAAAACGAAUCCUAUUUCGGCUAUGACCUUCUCCAUUACAAUGUUCUCAUACGCAGGAAUACCCCCGUUAGCCGGCUUUUGUAGAAAAUUCUAUUUGUUCUUCGCCGCUUUGGGUUGUGGGGCUUACUUCCUAGCCCCAGUGGGAGUAGUGACUAGCGUUAUAGGUCGUUGGGCGGCUGGAAGGUUGCCAUGA
rnacentral:rRNA from 1 species